UGUUGCCAGCGAUUAGGUCGGGAACUCAAAGGAGACUGCCAGUGAUAAACUGGAGGAAGGUGGGGAUGACGUCAAGUCAUCAUGGCCCUUACGACCAGGGCUACACACGUGCUACAAUGGCGCAUACAAAGAGAAGCGACCUCGCGAGAGCAAGCGGACCUCAUAAAGUGCGUCGUAGUCCGGAUUGGAGUCUGCAACUCGACUCCAUGAAGUCGGAAUCGCUAGUAAUCGUGGAUCAGAAUGCCACGGUGAAUACGUUCCCGGGCCUUGUACACACCGCCCGUCACACCAUGGGAGUGGGUUGCAAAAGAAGUAGGUAGCUUAACCUUCGGGAGGGCGCUUACCACUUUGUGAUUCAUGACUGGGGUGAAGUCGUAACAAGGUAACCGUAGGGGAACCUGCGGUUGGA
rnacentral:rRNA from 2 species